GUCUACAGCCAUACCACCCUGAACGCACCCGAUCUCGAAAGCUAAGCAGGGUCAGGCCUGGUUAGUACUUGGAUGGGAGAAAGCUACAGUCAUUGAGACA
ensembl:rRNA 5S_rRNA 5S ribosomal RNA